GCUUAACUGCGAGACCGACAAGUCGAGCAGGUACGAAAGUAGGACAUAGUGAUCCGGUGGUUCUGUAUGGAAGGGCCAUCGCUCAACGGAUAAAAGGUACUCUGGGGAUAACAGGCUGAUUCCUCCCAAGAGUUCAUAUCGACGGGGGAGUUUGGCACCUCGAUGUCGUCUCAUCACAUCCUGGGGCUGUAGCCGGUCCCAAGGGUAUGGCUGUUCGCCAUUUAAAGUGGUACGUGAGCUGGGUUUAAAACGUCGUGAGACAGUUUGGUCCCUAUCUGCCGUGGGCGUUGGAAAUUUGAAGGGGGCUGCUCCUAGUACGAGAGGACCGGAGUGGACGAACCUCUGGUGUACCGGUUGUCACGCCAGUGGCAUUGCCGGGUAGCUAAGUUCGGAAGAGAUAACCGCUGAAAGCAUCUAAGCGGGAAACUCGCCUUGAGAUGAGAUUUCCCGGAGCCUUGAGCUCCUUGAAGGGUCGUUCGAGACCAGGACGUUGAUAGGUCAGGUGUGGAAGUGCAGUAAUGCAUUAAGCUAACUGAUACUAAUUGCCCGUACGGCUUGUCCCU
rnacentral:rRNA from 1 species